rnacentral:lncRNA from 1 species
UUGGGGAAGCAGGCAGGUUGGGGAUGAAGAGUUAACAGCUAUAACCCAGAUCAGAUGAAGAAAGCGACACCUCACUGUUCAGCCAAGUGCUUCCUCCUUCUUCCUUGGGAUCUGCCUGCCUUCCAGCCUUCCUCCAAGGCUUCUCCUUGCCUCUCCUAUUGGCUGUCUCACUCUGAGGCAGGAAGAGAAAUCUGGUCGGUGGCUGACUUAGCUCCCUGGGUCCCUGAGACUGAGAUGGGACAGAGCCUACAAAUGAUGCUCAGGUGGUUCCAGCUGCUGAGUGGGCAGCAGGUCGGGAGCAGGAGCUUGCUGGGAACUUUGCCCAAGGUGCCUUCUCUGGUCCUGACUCCAUUUCCUGUUCUGCAUCCACCUCCACGGCUGAUCUUUGGUUUGAGUGUGGAUAAAGCAGUUAUCACAAAAUCAUCUGAGAAAUAAAAGAAAUCUUGAUUUAACAUGAAAACCUUUCUAUUCUCAACUGAAAACUUUUCUGGGCUGAAAUAAUCCUCUCUAGCUCCCAGCGCACAGUCAAGGAAUUUUAAAAACAGAGGACUUUGUAACCACGAAAUACCCUCCAAGAUUUAAAAGGCCACAGAGCUCCAGAUAAAUAAUCAUUUAUCUUUCUUCUGAAGGUAAGCACUGGGUUUAGAAAUGUUUGUAUCAUCCUCUGUCAUUUUUAAAUGCUAACAUAAGAAUCUUAAACUUGCUCUCUUUUUAAACCAUAAAAGUAAUCCUAGUAUUUUUGUUACUACCCAGCCAUUUUAGAUCAUCUCUGGGCCA